CGUCUAGGCGGCCUGCUAAGUCUGGCGUGAAAGCUCCCGGCUCAACUGGGAGAGGGCGCCGGAGACUGGCCGGCUCGAGACUCGGAGGGGGGUGUGGAAUUCCCGGUGGAGUGGUGAAAUGCGUUGAGAUCGGGAGGAACACCCGUGGCGAAGGCGGCACCCUGGCCGAGGUCUGACGCUGAAGCGCGAGAGCGUGGGGAGCAAACG
rnacentral:rRNA from 1 species